rnacentral:rRNA from 1 species
UACGUAGGGGGCAAGCGUUGUCCGGAAUCAUUGGGCGUAAAGAGCGUGUAGGCGGUCCGGUAAGUCGGCUGUGAAAGUCCAGGGCUCAACCCUGGGAUGCCGGUCGAUACUGCCGGGCUAGAGUUCGGAAGAGGCGAGUGGAAUUCCCGGUGUAGCGGUGAAAUGCGCAGAUAUCGGGAGGAACACCUAUGGCGAAGGCAGCUCGCUGGGACGUUACUGACGCUGAGACGCGAAAAGCGUGGGGAGCAAACAGG